AUACGGAGGGUGCAAGCGUUGUUCGGAAUCACUGGGCGUAAAGGGCGCGCAGGCGGUUUUACAAGUCAGAUGUGAAAGCCCACGGCUUAACCGUGGAAGUGCAUUUGAAACUGUAAGACUUGAGUAUCAGAGGGGAAGGUGGAAUUCCCGGUGUAGAGGUGAAAUUCGUAGAUAUCGGGAGGAAUACCGGUGGCGAAGGCGACUUUCUGGCUGAAUACUGACGCUGAGGCGCGAAAGCGUGGGGAGCAAACAGGAUUAGAAACCCCAGUAGUCC
rnacentral:rRNA from 1 species